GACAGAGGGGGCAAGCGUUGCUCGGAAUUACUGGGCGUAAAGGGCGCGUAGGCGGCCAGCACAAGUCAGUUGUGAAAUCUCCGGGCUUAACUCGGAAAGGUCAACUGAUACUGUGCGGCUAGAGUGCAGAAGGGGCAACUGGAAUUCUCGGUGUAGCGGUGAAAUGCGUAGAUAUCGAGAGGAACACCUGCGGCGAAGGCGGGUUGCUGGGCUGACACUGACGCUGAGGCGCGAAAGCCAGGGGAGCGAACGGG
rnacentral:rRNA from 1 species